CAGAGCACAUGGUUAUUUCCUAAUGAAGUAAUCAGUUUCCCAUAGUAAUACAGAAGCCAUUACUUUAUAUCCAUGUUCAAAUUCGAAGCAAUUAGAAAGGGGUAGCAUUAAAGAGUUUGAAUAGAUUUGUCCCUAUUUAACUAUGUUUUAGUGUGUUUGUGUGUGUGUGUGUGUGUGUGUGUGUGUGUGUGUGUGUGUGUGUGUGUGUGUAUGCGCGUGUGUCUAUCUCACCAAGAGUCCCAUAGGCCCAUAGGCCUUGAAUAACUGGCAGGAUAUCUUUUUCUGGUCAUGGGUUUAAAAAAAAAACAUCUGCUUAGUGAUUAGAAAGACUGGUGAAGGGAAUGUAGCACCCUUGCUAGAAGAGAUCUAUCCAGAUUAGGGUUAUAGGAUAACUUUGAAAAGCUUACAUGGCAGAAUUCUUGAUAUCUGGAAGAGUACAGAGAACUUCAAUUUCCACUGAUGUCAACUGAGUGCCUAAUUCACUUAAAAUGGCUAAAAGAAUCAAAUCUAGAAUCCUGAUUGAGGUAUAUUGUACUGUCAAAGAGACUGAGAAUUUAGCUAUAGUUUCUUAUGCUCAUGAAAGUAAUGUUAUUACAAUCAGCUUAGAUUUCUUCUUCCAUGCAGGAUCUAAGAUCAAAUUAAGACAGGAUAUGUUCUUAGUGUCAUUUUAAACUCUAAAUCUACAUAUGAUGUACAUUGGGUAUUGCUGGUAAUGAGGUAAAAGGAGGCCUAUAUUUGCAAAAUCAGCACAAUCUAAUCUGAUGACACAAGAGUGGAGUAAAAAGGUCUUUUUAACUUUUACCCCUAGGUAUAUAGAUGCCAUCUUCUCUUCCACAGAGGAAAUCUGCCAAUAAGUUUAUUGAGCUCUCAAGGAAAAUAGUACUAUUUGAAAGAUUCCAUAACAUUCAAUUUCAUAAAUGACUUUUGAUGCAAGCAUACUAUCUUAGUUAUUUUCUAAGUUAAUUAAAAAUAAAAAUAAAUAAUAGCUAAAAUUAUCUAGUAUCUAUUAUAUGAUAGAUUAUCUUAGGUUUUUUUUCAAGGAUAUUAAAAAUUAUAAUCUCAUCCUGCAUCCAUUUGGCUCAUCUCUAAGCUCACCUGCAGUGAUGGUGGAAACUUCCCUCUUCAAACACAUGUGGCUGUUUAUUUCUCUGCCUUAGACCUUUCUCCUGUGGUUCAGAAGCUUGCUUAGCAUGAAGGCAGGGUAGAAUCAAGGGCAGUGGAUUUAAUUCUCACAAAAUAAUCCUCAACAAUGAAAGACUAAUAAAUCAAUGAAUAUCCUAUCUUUCUUGUCCAUCAGCAGAGCAUUUCAGAGACAUGUUCUGCACAUCUCAGAGCAAGACUGGGCAUCAGUUGCUCACAUGAGUAGCCCUCACAUCAACACAUCCCUAAUUGACUUCCUUCCCUCUCUCACUUUCUCUACUCUUGUGCUUCCUGGAAUCAUCUUCUAAAUGAAUAACUGUACCCCAGACUUUGUCUCAAGGACUACUUUGAAGGGAACUCAAAGAAAGACAUAAACCUAAUAUCUUGAUUUUUAAAACUGAGAAAUAGAAAGCCCUUAUAUUGUGCAUGCAGUUGUGAAACUAAAGAAUGGCAGAAUCUAGGAUUUGAACCUGUUAUUCUAGUUACAUAAUCUAUUCUCAUUCUAUUAUGUCAUAUCAUAUGCCCUGUUUAGGACUUAAUUAAAAAUAAUUUCACUAUAAUGCUCUCAAACGUGUUUAUAUGCAAUCACUUCUUUAUAUUUGACUAUGUACAUAUAACAUUUCAAAGUAGAAAUGGAAAUACUUGUAUGCUGUGUGAGAAGAUGUAGUGAAUGUUGUUAAAGUACAGGAUUUGUAUACUAUUAUAAAAGCAAAGUCUAUAAAGAUUUUUUGCUAAUGAUUAUAUAUUUUAUGCUAUUUGUUAUUAAUAAAUCUAUAUAUUAUUACCAUUAUUGUAGUAACCAAAAAAGCCUGUACAAUUAUCACAAAUGUAAUUCUAAGCAUAGAGCAUCAAUCAUGGAAAAGAGAAAAUUUUACAUUGAAUAAAUAAUGUUGAAUUUGUAUUUCUUCAAUUUUGAGGGUUAUUUUGAGUAUAUUAAUAAGAAUACUAUCAUCUAAAGUAGUAUUUUUCAAAAGUAAAACUUUUGUGAGUUCCCACUGAGGAUGCAGGUUUGAUCCCAGGCCUUGCUCAGUGGGUUAAGGAUCUGGUAUUGCCAUGAGCUGUGGUGUAGGUCGCAGAUGCAGCUCAGAUCCUGAGUUGUUGUAGCUGUAGCAUAGGCUGGCAACUGCAGCUCCAAAUCAACCCUUAGCCCAAGAACCUCCAUAUGCUGCACGUGCAGCCCUAAAAAGGCAAAAAAAAAAAAAAAAAAAAAAAAAA
ensembl:lncRNA